GUGGGGAAUAUUGCACAAUGGGGGAAACCCUGAUGCAGCGACGCCGCGUGAAGGAAGAAGUAUCUCGGUAUGUAAACUUCUAUCAGCAGGGAAGAUAGUGACGGUACCUGACUAAGAAGCCCCGGCUAACUACGUGCCAGCAGCCGCGGUAAUACGUAGGGGGCAAGCGUUAUCCGGAUUUACUGGGUGUAAAGGGAGCGUAGACGGUGUGGCAAGUCUGAUGUGAAAGGCAUGGGCUCAACCUGUGGACUGCAUUGGAAACUGUCAUACUUGAGUGCCGGAGGGGUAAGCGGAAUUCCUAGUGUAGCGGUGAAAUGCGUAGAUAUUAGGAGGAACACCAGUGGCGAAGGCGGCUUACUGGACGGUAACUGACGUUGAGGCUCGAAAGCGUGGGGAGCAAACAGGAUUAGAAACCCUAGUAGUCCAUGU
rnacentral:rRNA from 1 species